ACGCCUAAGCAUGAACCCCCAAUUCCAAUAAUAAGGUGUGAUUAACCGCAUCGGAUCCUGGGCCCAUAAAUUGGAUGGGACCAGGACUAAUAUAUCGAUUCUUGAGGGCCCACUCAUCCCGCAUGGAUGCAAAUUUUUUGAAUGGCGCACCUUCAAGCUCCACCAUGGCCUUUUUAAUUACAGGCUUGAAUUUACCAUGUCUCCUCUCCACAUCCAUCAUAGAAGUCAGUGCAGUGCCACCAACUGUCCAUUCUGCAACAGGAGCACCCAAAUUCCCGACUGAUGAUAUCAGCCCAGUUUUCCCACUGUGAAGGAGCGCUCCAGCUCCAUAGCCCAACGCAUAGCAGUAUGUAGCAUCAAAGUUUGUUGGCAAACCGCAUCUUCCUUCAUAACCAAAGAAGUGGGACUGUCCUUUGAAUUGGGCUUUGUAUGAGCCUUGCUGCUUCCUCUUCUCCAACUCAGUUUCAACCAUUUGAAUAAGCAUUUUCUCUGUCUCUAUUUUGGCAACCUGGACGUUUCCAUGUGGAUCUCU
rnacentral:misc_RNA from 1 species